rnacentral:rRNA from 1 species
UAGGGAAUCUUCGGCAAUGGACGAAAGUCUGACCGAGCAACGCCGCGUGAGUGAAGAAGGUUUUCGGAUCGUAAAACUCUGUUGUUAGAGAAGAACAAGGACGUUAGUAACUGAACGUCCCCUGACGGUAUCUAACCAGAAAGCCACGGCUAACUACGUGCCAGCAGCCGCGGUAAUACGUAGGUGGCAAGCGUUGUCCGGAUUUAUUGGGCGUAAAGCGAGCGCAGGCGGUUUCUUAAGUCUGAUGUGAAAGCCCCCGGCUCAACCGGGGAGGGUCAUUGGAAACUGGGAGACUUGAGUGCAGAAGAGGAGAGUGGAAUUCCAUGUGUAGCGGUGAAAUGCGUAGAUAUGUGGAGGAACACCAGUGGCGAAGGCGGCUCUCUGGUCUGUAACUGACGCUGAGGAUCGAAAGCGUGGGGAGCAAACAGG